GGCUGGCCCAAGUGCAGUGGUGUUUACAACUAAUGGAUCACAACCAGUUACAGAUUUCUUAGCUCCUUCUCCACUCCCACUGCCUCACUUGACUAGCCUUGA
rnacentral:Y_RNA from 1 species